rnacentral:misc_RNA from 1 species
GAUGAAGAAGCAGCGAAAUGCGAUACUUGGUGUGAAUUGCAGAAUCCCGUGAACCAUCGAGUCUUUGAACGCAAGUUGCGCCCGAAGCCAUCAGGUUGAGGGCACGUCUGCCUGGGCGUCACAUAUCGUUGCCCAAUGCCUAUUGCAGUGCAAUAGGAAUUUCUAGGGCGAAUGAUGGCUUCCCGUGAGCGUUGUUGCCUCGCGGUUGGUUGAAAAUCGAGUCCUUGGUAGGGUGUGCCAUGGUAGAUGGUGGUCGAGUUAGAACGAUACCGAUCAUGUGCAUGCUCCCCAAAAUAUGGCCUCUAUGACCCACACGCGUCUUUUGACGCUCAUGACGAGACCUCAGGUCAGGCGGGGCUACCCGCUGAAUUUAAGCAUAUCAAUAAGCGGAGGA